UCUCCCUGGUUUAACUGCAAAUCAUCUGCACGUCAAGCACUCGGUCGAGCUUGUGUGGUGGAUAUCUAGAGGUGAUAUCUUUUGGAAUUGGUCUCUCUGGAGACUGACAAGUUGAGCUUAUGUAGUGUUUGAUGUUGCAUUCACUGUAUGGGUGAUGUUGUUUCUGUAUUUCUAGUGCCUUUCUAGAGGUGAUAUCUUUUGGAAUUGGUCUCUCCAGAGACUUACAAGUUGAGCUUAUUUAGUGUUUGAUGUUGCAUUCACUUUAUGCAUUAUCGACCCCGUACACCCCAGACACUUCGACCGCGGUUAAGUCCGAGAUACCCGGAUCGGCGUCCGCUCGAGAAUCCUUGUUAUCGGCUGAUACUCGGAUAAUCAUGGGGAUUGUUCUCUCUUAACACUAUUUCGCUAUACCAAGCUUCUCUAACGUAAUCCUUUACCUAAAUAUUUGACUUGGCAUCCUAUUUGUAUUCAUUUUAUUCUUACACUGACCUUGAGUCGAUUUGGUGACUCACAGCACUUGUGGUAUAAAUUGGGAUCGUCUACAUUCAGCUGCAUCAACUUAAAUGUUUUGCAAAGGCUUGGCGGCUAUCUUCAGCGUGUCACUUACUAUAAUUUGCGUCAACGAAGUCUAAUUCGUUGCUUGCAUCUGUGGGUAGCAGAUUUUCUCCCUAGUAAAGCAGGUCAAACUAGAUUGCAGUACGGAGUAAUCAAACUGCAGGAUUUCAGAAAGUUUCCUACUCAGCAAUACCUUGCACAUCCAAGCCAUUCGAGAGCAGCUCCAUUAGUCUUUUCAAGGUUUCGACUGCGAAGAGCAAGGAAAAACCAUCACUGUGUCAGGUUAUCCUCCGAGCAUCAAUUUCAGGCCAAGCCAUAUUAAGAGCUUGAUCAGAGAACAGGACCGGCAGGCGACGAGGGCGGAAGCCAGCUCCGAGAAGCAUUAACGUAUUCUCCACGAAUCCGGAAAACCUGAGGAAAAACUGUUUAUUUUAAAUAUGAUGCAGAAUCUGAAUAGCAUUAAUGUUUACACUGGUUUAUGUUCAAUAUUUUGUAUUGUUGAGUUGGAAUUUUUUUCAAUAUUGUAAAUGUUUUUUCAAUCUUGCGCUUUUAUUUAUAGCCCUAUUCAUGUUA